rnacentral:rRNA from 1 species
CCUACGGGGGGCAGCAGUGGGGAAUAUUGGACAAUGGGCGAAAGCCUGAUCCAGCCAUGCCGCGUGUGUGAAGAAGGCCUUCGGGUUGUAAAGCACUUUCAGUGGGGAAGAAAGCCUUGGGGCUAAUACCCACGAGGAAGGACAUAACCCACAGAAGCAGCACCGGCUAACUCCGUGCCAGAAGCCGCGGUAAUACGGAGGGUGCGAGCGUUAAUCGGAAUUACUGGGCGUAAAGCGCGCGUAGGCGGUCUGAUAAGCCGGUUGUGAAAGCCCCGGGCUCAACCUGGGAACGGCAUCCGGAACUGUCAGGCUAGAGUGCAGGAGAGGAAGGUAGAAUUCCCGGUGUAGCGGUGAAAUGCGUAGAGAUCGGGAGGAAUACCAGUGGCGAAGGCGGCCUUCUGGACUGACACUGACGCUGAGGUGCGAAAGCGUGGGUAGCAAACAGGAUUAGAUACCCUGGUAGUC